rnacentral:lncRNA from 1 species
CUUCCCUGCACAAAACAGGAAACUGUUCAUUUUAUGAUCACUUAUAAGACUAUAUAUCCAAUAUAUCCAAUCCAAUCCAAUGCUUGACUAAAUGAUGACUUUUUGUAGUUGCAAAUCUGUGAGCUUGAAAAAAUAGAAUUUCACCUCAACACCACAAUAUUUACACUGGAAUUUUGUCCCAGUUAAAAUCUAAAGUACCCACAAAUUUCAUGACUGUGGCUCUGACAUCUCUUCCCAGUUUGUUGAAUAUAUUUCUUCUGGACAGCUUUACUGUAUAUUUUUAUUG